rnacentral:rRNA from 1 species
GACGAACGCUGGCGGCGUGCUUAACACAUGCAAGUCGAACGAUGACGACCGAGCUUGCUCGGUCUGAUUAGUGGCGAACGGGUGAGUAACACGUGAGCAACCUGCCCUUCACUCUGGGAUAACCUCGGGAAAUCGGGGCUAAUACCGGAUAUGAGCUCCUGUCGCAUGGCGGGUGUUGGAAAGUUUUUCGGUGAAGGAUGGGCUGGCGGCCUAUCAGUUUGUUGGUGAGGUAGUGGCUCACCAAGGCGCUGACGGGUAGCCGGCCUGAGAGGGCGACCGGCCACACUGGGACGGAGACACGGCCCAGACUCCUACGGGAGGCAGAAGUGGGGAAUAUUGCACAAUGGGCGAAAGCCUGAUGCAGCGACGCCGCGUGAGGGAUGACGGCCUUCGGGUUGUAAACCUCUUUCAGCAGGGAAGAAGCGAAAGUGACGGUACCUGCAGAAGAAGCGCCGGCUAACUACGUG